CCUGCGGAGGAUCAUUACAUUCAGUAGCUUGCUACUGUUAGGGGGGUCUAUCAGCCUGUAUAGUAUCACUACUGAUGAGCAGCACGACCCUCUGUCUGUACCCUUGUCUUUUGCGCACUCAUGUUUCCUCGGCGGGUCUACACCCGCCGGCUGGACAACUCUAUAACCUUUUUAAUUUUCAAUCAGCGUCUGAAAAACCUAAUAAUUACAACUUUCAACAACGGAUCUCUUGGUUCUGGCAUCGAUGAAGAACGCAGCGAAAUGCGAUAAGUAGUGUGAAUUGCAGAAUUCAGUGAAUCAUCGAAUCUUUGAACGCACAUUGCGCCCCUUGGUAUUCCAUGGGGCAUGCCUGUUCGAGCGUCAUUUGUACCCUCAAGCUCUGCUUGGAUGUUGGGUGUUUGUCCACUCCCUAGUGUUUGGACUCGCCUCAAAGCAAAUUGGCAGCCAGUGUUUUGGUAUUGAAGCGCAACACAUUUUGCGAUUCUAAGCCUAAAAUACUAGCGUCCCAGCCAAACCAUUUUUCCACUUUUGACCUCUGAUCAGGUAAGGAUACCCGCUGAACUUACAGCAUAUCACUAAG
rnacentral:rRNA from 1 species